rnacentral:rRNA from 1 species
UACCAGACUCCUACGGGAGGCAGCAGUGGGGUAUAUUGCACAAUGGGGGGAACCCUGAUGCAGCGACGCCGCGUGGGCGAGGAAGUAUUUCGGUAUGUAAAGCCCUAUCGGCAGGGAAGAAGAAAUGACGGUACCUGAAUAAGAAGCACCGGCUAAAUACGUGCCAGCAGCCGCGGUAAUACGUAUGGCGCAAGCGUUAUCCGGAUUUACUGGGGGUAAAGGGAGCGCAGACGGCAGCGCAAGCCAGGAGGGAAAGCCCGGGGCCCAACCCCGGGACUGCUCUUGGAACUGCGCGGCUGGAGUGCAGGAGGGGCAGGCGGAAUUCCUGGUGUAGCGGUGAAAUGCGUAGAUAUCAGGAGGAACACCGGUGGCGAAGGCGGCCUGCUGGACUGCAACUGACGUUGAGGCCCGAAAGCGUGGGGAGCAAACAGGAUUAGAUACCCGAGUA